GUCCCGGUAGCGCAGAUGGCAGCGCGUAAGUCUUAUAAUCUUAAGGUCGAGAGUUCGAUCCUCACCCGGGGCA